AAGUUCCUACUGUAUUUGUAGAAUGAGUAUAUAUUGACCCAACACUUAUAGAAAAGGGAAUCUGACUCUUUUUGUGAAAUGAAGCUUUAAUAGCAAUUAAAGAACAGGAAACAAAAAGGAGAUACCCACCUGUUGAUGAACAGGUUCAACUAUAACUUAUUCUACGGUAUGGUAGGGGUUUA
rnacentral:other from 1 species